UGCAGUCGAGCGGAUCUUUCCUUCGGGGAAGGUUAGCGGCGGACGGGUGAGUAACACGUAGGCAACCUGCCUCCAAGACCGGGAUAACAUGCGGAAACGGAUGCUAAGACCGGAUAAACAGUUUUGUCGCAUGGCGAAGCUGGGAAACACGGUGCAAGCUGUGGCUUGGAGAUGGGCCUGCGGCGCAUUAGCUAGUUGGCGGGGUAACGGCUCACCAAGGCGACGAUGCGUAGCCGACCUGAGAGGGUGAACGGCCACACUGGGACUGAGACACGGCCCAGACUCCUACGGGAGGCAGCAGUAGGGAAUCUUCCACAAUGGGCGCAAGCCUGAUGGAGCAACGCCGCGUGAGUGAGGAAGGCUUUCGGGUCGUAAAGCUCUGUUGCCAGGGAAGAAUAAGGGUUUGUUAACUGCAAGCCCGAUGACGGUACCUGAGAAGAAAGCCCCGGCUAACUACGUGCCAGCAGCCGCGGUAAUACGUAGGGGGCAAGCGUUGUCCGGAAUUAUUGGGCGUAAAGCGCGCGCAGGCGGUUCUUUAAGUCUGGUGUCUAAGUGCGGGGCUCAACCCCGUGAUGCACUGGAAACUGGGGAACUUGAGUGCAGAAGAGGAGAGCGGAAUUCCACGUGUAGCGGUGAAAUGCGUAGAGAUGUGGAGGAACACCAGUGGCGAAGGCGGCUCUCUGGACUGUAACUGACGCUGAGGCGCGAAAGCGUGGGGAGCAAACAGGAUUAGAUACCCUGGUAGUCCACGCCGUAAACGAUGAGUGCUAGGUGUUGGGGGGAUCCUCCUCUCGGUGCCGAAGUUCACACAUUAAGCACUCCGCCCUGGGGAGUACGGUCGCAAGACUGAAACUCAAAAGGAAUUGACGGGGACCC
rnacentral:rRNA from 1 species